ensembl:rRNA 5S_rRNA 5S ribosomal RNA
GCCAGCAGCCAUAUCACCGUGCAACUCACAACUGGCAACCCACUGAAGCUAAGCAGGUGUGAGCCUGGUCAGUACCUGGAUAGGAGACCUCUUGGGAAAAAAACUAAGGUUGCUGCUGGAA